rnacentral:rRNA from 1 species
UACGUAGGUGGCGAGCGUUGUCCGGAUUUACUGGGCGUAAAGAGCGCGCAGGCGGUCGUACAAGUCGCGUGUGAAAGCCCCUGGCUCAACUGGGGAGGGUCGACGCGAUACUGUUCGACUCGAAGGCAGGAGAGGGAAGUGGAAUUCCUGGUGUAGCGGUGAAAUGCGUAGAUAUCAGGAGGAACACCGGUGGUGUAGACGGCUUUCUGGACCGUAACUGACGCUGGAGACACGAAAGCGUGGGUAGCAAACAGG